AGAGAGAGACAUGCGCGCAUAUCAAUAAGCGGAGGAAAAGAAACUAACAAGGAUUCCCUUGGUAACGGCGAGUGAAGCGGGAAGAGCUCAAAUUUGAAAUCUUCAAGGUUUUGCCUUGACGAAUUGUAGUUUAAAGAAGUGUUUUCUGUUGAAGUUUUGGUAAAAGUUCUUUGGAAUAGGACAUCAUAGAGGGUGAGAAUCCCGUAUUUGACCAUUAUUUCCAGCUUUGUGAUACACUUUCAAAGAGUCGGAUUGUUUGGGAAUGCAGUCCAAAAUGGGUGGUAAAUUUCAUCUAAAGCUAAAUAUUGGCGAGAGACCGAUAGCGAACAAGUACCGUGAGGGAAAGAUGAAAAGAACUUUGAAAAGAGAGUCAAACAGUACGUGAAAUUGUCAAAAGGGAAGCGUUUGACACCAGUGUUGUUUUCUCGAAAAUCAAUUAAAAAUGGCUCGAUUUUGUAUUGUUGAGACCUUAAAAGCUCACUGUACAUCUUUCGUGUCUUUUUUAAUGCACUUUUCGUUUAACAAGUCAACAUCAGUUCUUUUGUUGUAAAAGGGUCAUUGGAAGGUGGCUUUCUUUUCGGAGAAAGUGUUUAUAGCCUUUGGCCUCUGCAAUCGGAGAGACUGAGGUCUGCAGCGUAGACUCUUCGGGGUUAGAUACAUUUGUGCUAAGUUAUAGCUUUUUAUAGACAACUUGUUGACUAUAAUUAGUCUUGUAGCUUACUCGCUUAUGCUAUUUUACCUACGUUAGGAUGUUGAAGUCAUCGUAUCGCGC
rnacentral:rRNA from 1 species